GUCAACUACCCCGCCGUGAACGGCGGAGCUUGUGAAAGCAGGCUCGGUUGACCAGGGAAAGCGGACACCCACCGGCUACGUUCGUGACAGGUCGUCAAGACCCACCCCACCGUGCUUCCACAGCGGUGGGCGCUGGA
rnacentral:sRNA from 1 species